rnacentral:rRNA from 1 species
AGAGUUUGAUCCUGGCUCAGAACGAACGCUGGCGGCAGGCCUAACACAUGCAAGUCGAGCGAGAAGCCACCUUCGGGUGGGGGACAGCGGCAGACGGGUGAGUAACGCGUGGGAACGUACCCUUUGGUUCGGGACAACUCCGGGAAACUGGAGCUAAUACCGGAUAAGCCCCUCGGGGGAAAGAUUUAUCGCCGAAGGAUCGGCCCGCGUCUGAUUAGCUUGUUGGUGAGGUAAAGGCUCACCAAGGCUACGAUCAGUAGCUGGUCUGAGAGGAUGAUCAGCCACACUGGGACUGAGACACGGCCCAGACUCCUACGGGAGGCAGCAGUGGGGAAUAUUGGACAAUGGGCGCAAGCCUGAUCCAGCCAUGCCGCGUGAGUGAUGAAGGCCCUAGGGUUGUAAAGCUCUUUCGGCGGGGACGAUAAUGACGGUACCCGCAGAAGAAGCCCCGGCUAACUUCGUGCCAGCAGCCGCGGUAAUACGAAGGGGGCUAGCGUUGUUCGGAAUUACUGGGCGUAAAGCGCACGUAGGCGGAUCGUUUAGUUGGGGGUGAGAUCCCGAGGCUUAACCUCGGAACUGCCUCCAAUACUGGCGAUCUUGAGUCCGAGAGAGGUGAGUGGAACUCCGAGUGUAGAGGUGAAAUUCGUAGAUAUUCGGAAGAACACCAGUGGCGAAGGCGGCUCACUGGCUCGGUACUGA